rnacentral:misc_RNA from 1 species
GCUUUCUGCAAGAAAUACAAACUAACACAAAUGCAGGUUUAGAGCCAACAGAAACAGUGCCUAAAACAGCGAUAGUACAUACAAAUCGCCUAUGAAAUUGAGGAUUGGAGAAAAAGGGAUAAAAGAAAAGCCAUUUGAGCUUAGCAUACUUCCAUGUAUGUUAGCUCCUAAUAAUAGACACCGACGACAAUGAAACAAGAAAAUAUUUUUUGUACAAAAAAUUUGAAAAAAGUAAAAAGUGUCGACAGGAAGAGGAUAGGAGCAUACACUCUCUGUUUCAAAUGGUUAUAAAGGUUUACCCAGAUGAAGUCGCCACUGACAAGCCAAGAAUAUCAUAAAACAAUGGGAAGAGAACAAUGAUAUAAAACUUGAUUUUGAUGAAUGAAACAGUAAAGUAUGAAAACUUUACUCAUUCCCCAAAUUAAUUGAACCAUCCUUCAUUAGCUUCACGCUGAGACUAUUGAAUCUCCCUCUUGAAUAAUGUCGAGAUGCCUUUCUCCAGUCUGUCCCAGUUUUCAUCAUGGCUGCAAAUUCUUCAAA